UUUUUUUUUUUUUUUUUUUUUUUUUUUUUACCAGCUGCACCUACAGCAUGUAGAAGUUUCCAGGUUCAGAGUCGAAUUGGAGCUGCAGCUGUGACCUAAGCCACACUGCAUCCAGACGAGUCACAUCUGUGAGCUACACCAAAACUUGUGGCAAUGCUGGAUCCUUAACCCCUGAACAAGGCCAGGGAUCAAACUUGCAUCCUUACAGAGACUAUGUCAGGUCCUUAACCUGCUGAACCACUAUGGGAACUCCAAGAUAAGCUUAUGUUUUCUUUUUGCUUUUUUCUUUUUUUGGCAACCCUAAGGCAUAUGGAGUUCCUGGGCCAGGGAUCAGAUCCAAGCUGCAGUUGUGACCUUCCUAGCAGCUGCAUCAAUGCUGGAUCCUUUAACCCACUUUGCUGGUUGGGGAGUGAACCUGCGUCCUAUUGCUGCAGAGAUGCCACCGAUCCUACUGAGCCACAAAGGAAACUGAGAAUCUUCAUUUUGGGCCUAAAUUGCAGACCUUUCCAGCAGGGAGGAGGUGUGUCCCUGGGCAGAACUGUCAGAAGAGCCAGGGCUAUCUCUGAACUUUAUUAUUCUGGGUCUGAGGCCUUGUACCCAUCUAUGAAAAACCUCUGACUCUCAGUGAAUGGGGUUAAAAAAAAAAAAAAAUCUCCACAGAGUUGUUGGGAAUACCCAGCUGCAUCACCAAAUAAAAUUUGAGGGAGUUCCCAUUGUGGCUCAGAGGUAAUGAACCUGACUAUUAUCUGUGAGGACGGGGGUUUGAUCCCUGACCUUGCUCAAUGGGUGAAGGAUCUGGUGUUGCCAUGAGCUGUGGCAUAGGUCAUAGACGUGGCUCAAAUCUGGUGUGGCAGAGGCCAGCAGCUGUAGCUCCAAUUCAACCCCUAGCUGGGGAACUUCCAUAUGCCAUGGGUGCCGCCCUAAAAAAGACAAAAAAAAAAAAAAGACAAAAAAAAAAAAUUGAAAGGAGGAAACCCCUCAGAUUAUUCUGUCUUCUAUCAUCAUCACCAUCUACAAAUGUAGAAUAGAUAUAAAUAUAAUUUUUUUGGCUGAGCUUAUAUAGCUGAAUUUGCACAAGUACAUGAUGAGAAUGUACUUUAUUUGCAAACAUUUUAUUAAAAAAAAUUUUUUUUUGUCUUUUGUCUUUUUAGGGCUGCACCUGCAGCAUGCGGAGGUUCCCAGACUAGGGGUCGAAUUGAAGAUACAGUUGCCAGCUUACACCACAGCCACAGCAACACCACAUCUGAGCAGUGUCUGCGAGCUACACACAGCUCAUGGCAACACUGUAUCCUUAACCUACUGUGCGAGGCCAGGGAUCAAACCUGCAAUCUCAUGGUUCCUAGUCGGAUUCGUUUCCACUGCGCCAUGGUAGGAACUCGCUUAUUUGUAAAUAUUUUUUAUAGAGAGAAAGGUACAGUCUUUCUCUAAGCUUUUCUAACAUACUAUUCUUUUAAAUUAACAUGCGCUCCCUCUGAACCUGCUGGCCUGGACUCGAGGCUUUUGAACAGGUCCUGGUUCGGUUUGGGGGAGGCUCACCAGCCAGGACCAGCAUCUGAUCCACAGGGAAAAAAAAAAAAAUUAAAAGGAUAGAAGAAACAGCUCCUUUUUCAGGAAAGGCCAUGAUGUCUCCAGGAGUGGCAUAAAGAUCCCUGGAAAAGCUCAUAUUCUAGGAAACGACACUCAGGACAAGGCGAGGAGUGUUGCCUUGUCCCCAGACAGAUGCCUUGUGGUCUCUGCACCCCAGGACUACCUGGAAUGCUCUUCCCUGACUUACUCUUUUCCUCCCACUUUCAUCUCAGCAGUAGUGACUCUCCCGCUGAUGGGAGCAUUCAACCAGAGGCUGAAAACUUCAUGGUGGAGAUGUCGCAGAGGUGACAUGGUUUUUAACAUUUUAAACUCUAAGAUUCAAUGGCCCAGGGAUUCUACUGUCUUCAGAGUCAAAUUCAUGGAUAUUGAUGAGUUCCACCUGAGACGGUUAGGAAGCCGAGCUAGAGUACUAAAUGGGAUCCGACUAAAAUAGAGAGCAGGCUACAAAGUAGACUGUGGGCAAAGGCAGAGUGCCCAGGACGCCUCAAAUUCUUCUCCUCUUUACCCUUAUUUGCUCCCAUCAGAGGUUCUCAGCCCUGGAGGACUGCACUUUAGAAUCACCCAGGAAACCUUUAAAAACUGUAGAGGUUUGAGGUUGUAGCCUCAACCCCAGAUCAAUUAAAUCAGCACCCCUGAGGGUAAGCCCAGGCACCAGAAUUUUUUUGGUCUGUUUUUUAGGGCCCACCUCCAGCAUAUGGAGGUUCCCAGGCUGGGGGUUGAAUCGAAGCUGCAGCUACUGGCCUACACCACAGCCACAGCAAUGCCAGCUGCAUCUUCGACCUACACCACAGUUCAUGCAAACACCAUAUUCUUAAACCCACUAUGUAAGGCCAGGUAUUGAACCCACAUCCUCAUGGAUACUAGUUGGAUUCUAACCCACUGAGCCACAACGGGAACUCCCAGGCAUCCAUCAGUAUUUUUAAAGUUCCACAGUUGAUUGCAAAGUGCAGCCAAAGGUUUUUUUUUGUUUGUUUUGGUUUUUUGUCUUUUUAGGGCUGCACCCACAGCAUAUGGAUGUUCUCGGGCUAGGGUCCAAUUGGAGCUGUAGCUGCCAGCCUACACCACAGCCACGCAGGAUCCGAGCAGCAUCUGAGACCUACACUACAGCUCACUGCAAUGCCGGAUCCUUUACCCACUGAACAAGUCCAGAGAUCAAACCCGAGUCCUCAUGGAUGCUAGUUAGGUUUGUUUACUGCUGAGCCAUGACGGGAACUCCAAUGUGCAGCCAAAGUUGACACCCACUGUCAGGUGACCUUAGCCAUCCCUUUGGCUUUAAAUAGGCAGACAGCUUCAGCUGUGACCACUUCCUCGAGGUCUAGACCUGCUUGUCUUUCUCCUCAACAUUACCAUUGAAAUGUCUAUUGGACAGCUUAUCUUGCAAGAGUCAAGUAGAUUGUUUUCUUGAGACCUGCUCGUCCCAGUCCUCUCCAUCUCAAUGACUGACCAAUCACUCGCUUGGUUCAGGUGAAAGGUGAGAUUAAUUGACUGAUUUAUGCUGCAUCUUGACAUGGAAAUUCCCAGAUCAGGGAUCUAAUCUGAGCUGCAGCUUCAAGCUACACCACAACUGCAGCAAUGCUGGAUCCUUAAUCCAUUGCACUGGGCCAGGGAUCAAAUUCAUGCCUCAGCAGCAAGCAGCAACCCAAGCUGCUGCAGAGACAAGGCUGGAUCCUUAAUCCACUGUACCACAGCAAGAGCUCUGGUGAACAUCUUUCUUGAUUCUUGUUCUCACAAUCCAUAUCAAAUCUGUUAAGAACUCCUACUGGUUGAAUCUCAAAAUACAUCCCUGUUCUAAACCCUCCUCACCAUCUCCCCAGCUGAAUCUUUCCAGUCUGGUCUCUUCCAGCAAUCAGAGUGAAACCUAUUAAAAAGGGAAAUUCAGGACAUGAAAAGAUGCUCAGCAUCAUUUAGUCAUUGGAGGAAUACACAAUAAACCACAAUGAGCUAUCACUACAGACCCACUAGAAUGGCUAAAAUCAAAAAGACUGACAAUGCCCUAUAUUGGGGAGUGAACAAUGGGAUAAAUACUUUGGAGAACUGGAAGUUGGAUGACAAGCAAUUCCACUGCUGGGUAAUGCAAACCUAUGUCCAUACAAACCUCAUAUGAGAAUGUUCAUGGUAGCUUAUUCUCAAUAGGCCCAAACAGGAAACAGCCUAAA
rnacentral:lncRNA from 1 species